UACGGGGGGGGGCAAGCGUUUGUUCGGAAUUACUGGGCGUAAAGAGCUCGUAGGUGGUUUGUCGCGUUGUUCGUGAAAACUCACAGCUUAACUGUGGGCGUGCGGGCGAUACGGGCAGACUUGAGUACUGCAGGGGGAGACUGGAAUUCCUGGUGUAGCGGUGGAAUGCGCAGAUAUCAGGAGGAACACCGGUGGCGAAGGCGGGUCUCUGGGCAGUAACUGACGCUGAGGAGCGAAAGCGUGGGGAGCGAACAGG
rnacentral:rRNA from 1 species